GAUGAACGCUGGCGGUAUGCUUAACACAUGCAAGUCGAACGGACUCUUCGGAGUUAGUGGCGGACGGGUGAGUAACGCGUGAGAAUCUGGCUUUGGGUUCGGGACAACCACUGGAAACGGUGGCUAAUACCGGAUGUGCCGAGAGGUAAAAGAGAAAUUGCCUGAAGAUGAGCUCGCGUCUGAUUAGCUAGUUGGUGAGGUAAAGGCUCACCAAGGCAGCGAUCAGUAGCUGGUCUGAGAGGAUGGCCAGCCACACUGGGACUGAGACACGGCCCAGACUCCUACGGGAGGCAGCAGUGGGGAAUUUUCCGCAAUGGGCGAAAGCCUGACGGAGCAAUACCGCGUGAGGGAAGAAGGCUCUUGGGUUGUAAACCUCUUUUCUUAGGGAAGAACAAAAUGACGGUACCUAAGGAAUCAGCAUCGGCUAACUCCGUG
rnacentral:rRNA from 1 species